AGGACAUUUGAAUUAAACCAAAGGUGUUUAAGAAGACUAGAGGUGAUAAUCUAAUGCAGUUCAAACUACAAGUUGAAGCAAGUUAGAUAUAUCUGGAGUCUGAGAGGACAGACCAAAAUAUGAGCAGGCCUAAAACUCAAGGUUUGAUUAAGUACAGCUGGAGGAAAAACCAACAAGAGAGCAAUUGUUAACUCUACCGGUAGUAACGUAAACUCACAACUAAAUUAAGCAGACAACCAACGAAGGGAUUGUGCAAGAAGAAUUAGAUAUAAUGAAUGAGGAAUUUAUUUCACCGGAUGAAAACAACAACCAAGCGUUAGUUGAGGAUGUGAAUUUUCCUCCUAUUGCUGUGAGUAGUACAAAGAGGAGGAGAAGCACCGAAUUUGUUAACGAUCAUGAGUUAGUCAACAUUCGGUUGAAGGCGGCAAAAUUAGAACACCAGAUAAAUUUCCUUAGGAUGAGGGUAAAAAACGAAAAACAGGGUCACGACUUGAUAUUGAAAAUCAUGCUCAAUGAAUUCAAUAUACAAUCUUCAAUAAAUAUACAAUAAAAUUUUGAAACAUAUGAGUUUGGAUUAUUCAAAAUUAUUAUAUAUGAAGAAACAAGAAAAGGAAUUAUGGGAGCAAGGUCACGUAGCUCAGGACACUUAAAUGACAUGCAAAUAAAAAAUGAAUGAACGAA